AGCUUUGCGCAGUGGCAGUAUUGUAGCCAAUGAGGUUUAUCCGAGGCGUGAUUACUGCUAAUUGAAAAGAUAUAUAUAUAUAUAAAAAAUAAAAAAAGAAAAGAUACAUAUAUAUUUCCUGUAAUUUGAUAUUAUAUAAUA
rnacentral:snRNA from 1 species